UAGGAAUGUAAUUAAAUCUUAUUAGUUUGGGGAGUAUGAAACUGUUAUUGCAGGAUUUUAUGGGUGACAUAGGUUCAGAGAAGAAAAUUAUGGAUGAAUCGAGUGUUUGAGGAAAAUGUCUUGUUGAAUUGCACAAAUAUUUAAGUGCAAUUUCUUGUUUAUUUGAACAAUCAAUGUCUUACUUGUUUUUAAACUUUUCACAUACCCAUGGUUG
rnacentral:misc_RNA from 1 species